GGCACAAAGAGUGCACGGACGGACGCGCAGAGCAGACCAGAGCAGAGAAGACAAGAUGCAGCAGCCGCAGCCGCAGCCGCAGCAGCUCACACAAAAUGGACGCAUGCAGCCAGAGCAGGUAAGGAGGGUUGCCACAAAGCGGGCACACUCCGCCAGUCUGCGUGCGCGUGAUAAACACAAGCCGAAGGACGCCCGGCCGGGCGAGCGAGCUAACGGCGGCUAAUGAUGCUAACGGGCUAUCUCGGCGCCGCACAUUGCGCAGCCUCGCAGGGAAUAUUCAAAUAUCGGAAACUUGUCCCAAUGUUCCAAGUGCCCUCAGAUGCCGGCGACAAGCUGAGCAGGCGAGGAUGACUUUGCAUCAAAUUACAAAACACACAAAAAAAAGAAAAUGACUUCCUUGCUAA